rnacentral:rRNA from 1 species
GACGAACCGAGCGAACGUUGUUCGGAAUCACUGGGCUUAAAGGGCGCGUAGGCGGGUGCUCAAGUCUGUGGUGAAAUCCUCCGGCUCAACCGGAGAACGGCCAUGGAUACUGGGUGUCUCGAGGGUGAUAGGGGUAUGCGGAACUAUCGGUGGAGCGGUGAAAUGCGUUGAUAUCGAUAGGAACUCCGGUGGCGAAGGCGGUAUACUGGAUCACUUCUGACGCUGAGGCGCGAAAGCCAGGGGAGCGAACGGG